AGAGAGGUGGCCGAGUGGUCGAAGGCGCACGCCUGGAAAGUGUGUAUACANCAAAAGUGUAUCGAGGGUUCGAAUCCCUUCCUCUCUG
rnacentral:tRNA from 1 species